AGAAUCAACGCUGGCGGCGUGCCUAACACAUGCAAGUCGAACGAGAAAGUGGAGCAAUCCAUGAGUAAAGUGGCGACCGGGUGAGUAACACGUGACUAACCUACCCUAAAGUGGGGAAUAACUCCGGGAAACCGGGGCUAAUACCGCAUAACAUCGGUGCUUCUCAAGAAGCGACGAUCAAAGCAGCAAUGCGCUAUGGGAGGGGUCGCGGCUGAUUAGCUAGUUGGCGGGGUAACGGCCCACCAAGGCGAAGAUCGGUA
rnacentral:rRNA from 1 species